rnacentral:rRNA from 1 species
CGAUGGGCCGACGUCGCAUGCUCCCGGCCGCCAUGGUUAGAGUUUGAUCAUGGCUCAGAACGAACGCUGGCGGCGUGGAUAAGACAUGCAAGUCGAACGGAACAUUGAGAGUAGCAAUAUGAUCAGUGUUUAGUGGCGAACGGGUGCGUAACACGUGGAUACAUUCCGGGAAGCGGGGGAUAGCCCAGGGAAACUUGGAUUAAUACCGCAUGUGGUCGAAAGACUAAAGGCAGGGACCGCAAGGCCUGCCACUUCCCGAUUGGUCCGCGGCCUAUCAGCUAGUUGGCGGGGUAAAAGCCCACCAAGGCUACGACGGGUAGCUGGUCUUAGAGGACGACCAGCCACACUGGAACUGAGACACGGUCCAGACACCUACGGGUGGCAGCAGUCGAGAAUCUUUCACAAUGGGGGCAACCCUGAUGGAGCGACGCCGCGUGGAGGAUAAGGUCUUCGGAUUGUAAACUCCUGUCAUGUGUGAACAAGGCUGUCUUGUUAAUAGCGAGGCAGAUUGAUGGUAACACAAGAGGAAGAGACGGCUAACUCUGUGCCAGCAGCCGCGGUAAUACAGAGGUCUCAAGCGUUGUUCGGAAUCACUGGGGCGUAAAGGGUGCGUAGGUGGCGCAGCAAGUCAGAUGUGAAAGCCCGGGGCUCAACCUCGGAAUUGCAUCCGAUACUGCUGUGCUAGAGUACUGAAGAGGUGACUAGAAUUCUCGGUGUAGCAGUGAAAUGCGUAGAUAUCGGGAGGAAUACCAACGGCGAAGGCAGGUCACUGGGGCAUUUACUGACACUGAGGCACGAA